GAACGGUAGCACAGGGGAGCUUGCUCCCCGGGUGACGAGUGGCGGACGGGUGAGUAAUGCCUGGGAAACUGCCCGAUGGAGGGGGAUAACUACUGGAAACGGUAGCUAAUACCGCAUAACGUCUUCGGACCAAAGUGGGGGACCUUCGGGCCUCACACCAUCGGAUGUGCCCAGGUGGGAUUAGCUAGUAGGUGGGGUAAUGGCCCACCUAGGCGACGAUCCCUAGCUGGUCUGAGAGGAUGACCAGCCACACUGGAACUGAGACACGGUCCAGACUCCUACGGGAGGCAGCAGUGGGGAACAUUGCACAAUGGGCGCAAGCCUGAUGCAGCCAUGCCGCGUGUAUGAAGAAGGCCUUCGGGUUGUAAAGUACUUUCAGCGGGGAGGAAGGCGAUGAGGUUAAUAACUUCGCUGAUUGACGUUACCCGCAGAAGAAGCACCGGCUAACUCCGUGCCAGCAGCCGCGGUAAUACGGAGGGUGCAAGCGUUAAUCGGAAUUACUGGGCGUAAAGCGCACGCAGGCGGUCUGUCAAGUCGGAUGUGAAAUCCCCGGGCUCAACCUGGGAACUGCAUUCGAAACUGGCAGACUAGAGUCUUGUAGAGGGGGGUAGAAUUCCAGGUGUAGCGGUGAAAUGCGCAGAGAUCUGGAGGAAUACCGGUGGCGAAGGCGGCCCCCUGGACAAAGACUGACGCUCAGGUGCGAAAGCGUGGGGAGCAAACAGGAUUAGAUAMCCUGGUAGUCCACGCCGUAAACGAUGUCGACUUGGAGGUUGUGCCCUUGAGGCGUGGCUUCCGGAGCUAACGCGUUAAGUCGACCGCCUGGGGAGUACGGCCGCAAGGUUAAAACUCAAAUGAAUUGACGGGGGCCCGCACAAGCGGUGGAGCAUGUGGUUUAAUUCGAUGCAACGCGAAGAACCUUACCUGGCCUUGACAUCCACGGAAUUCGGCAGAGAUGCCUUAGUGCCUUCGGGAACCGUGAGACAGGUGCUGCAUGGCUGUCGUCAGCUCGUGUUGUGAAAUGUU
rnacentral:rRNA from 1 species